CUUGCAGCCAUAUCAUGUUGAAACACUGGUUCUUGUAUGAUCAUCAAAGUUCAGCCACAUUUAGCCUGGUCAGUACCUAGAUGAGUGACCUCUUAGGAAUACCAGGUGCC